AAGUCGUAACAAGGUUUCCGUAGGUGAACCUGCGGAAGGAUCAUUAUCGUAGGGCUUCGGCCCUGUCGAGAUAGAACCCUUGCCUUUUUGAGUACCUUUUCGUUUCCUCGGCAGGCUCGCCUGCCAAUGGGGACCCCAAAAAACACUUUGCAGUACCUGUAAACAGUCUGAACAAACUUUUAAAAAUUAAAACUUUCAACAACGGAUCUCUUGGUUCUG
rnacentral:misc_RNA from 1 species